rnacentral:tRNA from 1 species
UGUGAGUUAAAGCUAAAUCACUGCUUUAUAUUUUUUGUUAAAAAAAAUAGCGCAAGCUAGUGCUUUAAAUUAAUCU